CAGCCGCCGCGGGAAUUCGUAGGUGGCAAGCGUUGUCCGGAAUUAUUGGGCGUAAAGGGCUCGCAGGCGGUUUCUUAAGUCUGAUGUGAAAGCCCCCGGCUCAACCGGGGAGGGUCAUUGGAAACUGGGAAACUUGAGUGCAGAAGAGGAGAGUGGAAUUCCACGUGUAGCGGUGAAAUGCGUAGAGAUGUGGAGGAACACCAGUGGCGAAGGCGACUCUCUGGUCUGUAACUGACGCUGAGGAGCGAAAGCGUGGGGAGCGAACAGGAUUAGAUACCCCGGUAGUCCCUGUCUCUUAUAA
rnacentral:rRNA from 1 species